AAUAUUGGACAAUGGGGGCAACCCUGAUCCAGCCAUGCCGCGUGUGUGAAGAAGGUCUNCGGAUUNUNAAGCACUUUAAGUUGGGNGGAAGGGCUUUAGGUUAAUACCCUGAAGUUUGGACGGUACCAACAGAAUAAGCACCGGCCACCUCUGUGCCAGCAGCCGCGGUAAUACAGAGGGUGCAAGCGUUAAUCGGAAUUACUGGGCGUAAAGCGCGCGUAGGUGGUUCAGUAAGAGUGGUGUGAAAUACCCUGGCUUAACCUGGGAACUGCUUUCAUAAAUGCUGAGCUAGAGUACGGUAGAGUGUAGUGGAAUUUCCUGUGUAGCGGUGAAAUGCGUAGAUAUAGGAAGGAAAACCAGUGGCGAAGGCGACUACCUGGACUGAUACUGACACUGAGGUGCGAAAGCGUGGGGAGCAAAC
rnacentral:rRNA from 1 species